AUAAGCAUAUCUAACCGGAGAACCAGUUUAGAAGUUGAGAGUCGUGUAUUUUUAGUUGCUACGAGAGGGUGAAGAAGAUGACUUUUGUGAAUAUAUUCAAAGACUUUUACGCGGAUUCGGAUUCUUACGAUAAUCAUUACGACAACGAUAGAAAAUACACGAAUACUCUGAUCGAGCAGAGUGAAAAAAGCAACCCUCUGGAUGACACGAAACAGAAAACGACAGUGCAUAAUGACUGGAACGAAGCUGUCAAGGCCUGGAAAAACACGGCACCGUUUCCACGGUAUGUCUCGGCGCCGCCGGUCACAAACGUAAUCAAACGUCAGAACCGCGAGGUUAAUAAGCCAGAAGAACCGGACAAUAAUCUCUCGUCAGUCAAGUGUGUCGGCGAGGAUUUUGAUACUUUUCCUGUACCAAGUUGGAAGGCCAACGUUGAACAGGGGACGUAUCGUUACGUCACAAACAACGCUUACUAUCGGACGGUGAAGAUUCUGGACUAUCGUGACAGGCGAGAGUGGUACACCAUUCAUAAGAAACACCCGGAAAUUGUUUCCAUGCAUUGGCAAAACAAGCGGUUUAAUAAAGAGUUAAAACGGAACUUGAGGCGAGACUUGGAAAUUAGGUUUCACAAUCACAACCGUCGCCAGCAAUCAAUAGUGGGAGAAAGUGUGUCGGACACAUCGAAUAAAAAACCGGUCAAUGAUAAAGGGGACCAAGCGGUAGAGAGCAGCCGCGAGCCCAAGGUGCGCGUGACGACACCCAAAUCUAACCGAGAGUGCAAUAAGUGCUUUGAACGAAGAGCUCAGACGCGACUCGCGACUGAGAAAAUCGCACGAGGCUGCAGACAUUGCAAAGUUUUUCCUUCAAACGAAAGAAAUCUCGUCAAAGAGUAAAAAGAGAGAUGGACAGAAUACUGAUGAAGUUAUGACGGUCAGAUCGGUGGCUCAAAGGGGCGAGCUGAAACCGGUGGAGAGAGUCACCCCCGCACAAAGAAUAAUUGCCGCGGAGUCUAAAAAAUCGAAACAAAACCAAUUACGCUAUACAAAUUCCACCGGGAACGACGCAGCAACAAUGAGUGUUCCUUCUAUACCUGACAAUUUCCACAUCGCUAGUCCCGAGCUAGAAAAAGCUCUUAAUUCUUACAAAUUAGCAAUAGAGACAACAAAACAGUCCCUGUUUAAUACUCUUACUGGCAAUAAGGGCCAGAGGAGGACGGGGGGUGGGGCUAACAAGGCGGCCCACUCUGCCCCUCCCUCCGUGUGCGAGAAUUCCUCCAACGGAGUUGGCCACUCUGACCAGCCCACCCCAAACAGUGUUCACAGUGUUUCCAGUCUCAGUGGGAAGGACAAGGCUUCGGGGAAAAAAUCCCAUUUCACCGGAAUUCUGCCGGGGAUUUCCGGCAAGCGUUUGGAAGUGGGUCCUACCACCAAUAGGUGGAUGUAGGACCUACCCGUGCCUUUCAUGAUCAAAAGUUUGCCUCAAUAGCGAAACUAUGUAUUGAUGUCGCCUUAUUUACUCAAGUUUUAUUUUGAAAAUUUAUUAUGACAUGUAAUAAAAAAAAAAACUGGUGAUAAGUACCCCGACUUUCGAGUGUGUUAUGACUACAGGUUUUAUCAGUGACACAUUGAGCAUUUAAUGCUAUAUACCAGUGACAUUUCAUACUCGCCCUUGUUUGUAAUUUGGUGACGCAAAUUCCUGAGAAAAAAAUCUAUUGUACGAUAGGGGGUCUACGUUUUUCAAUACUAGACACGAAUUUGAAAUAUA
rnacentral:misc_RNA from 1 species